rnacentral:rRNA from 1 species
CCCUUAGAUGUUCUGGGCCGCACGCGCGCUACACUGAUGCAUUCAACGAGUUUCUUCCUGGUCCGAGAGGAAUGGGUAACCUUUUGAAAGUGCAUCGUGAUAGGGAUAGACUAUUGCAAUUAUUGGUCUUCAACGAGGAAUUCCUAGUAGACGUAGUUCAUCAGACUGCAUCGAUUACGUCCCUGCCCUUUGUACACACCGCCCGUCGCUCCUACCGAUUGAAUGCUCAGGUGAGCCAUUCGGACUUUCAUCAUGCUGGUUUACAGUUUUGAUGAAGGAAAGUCUUGCGAACCUUAUCAUUUAGAGGAAGGAGAAGUCGUAACA